CUCAACCCAGAGCAGGGCUCAAGGAGCUUCACCUAGUGACCUCAGAACCCCAGGCCUCUCUGGAAAAUUGACUCAGUUUCCCACAGCCACUGGGGCACACCCAAAUGACGCACCUAGUAUAAAGGGCAAUGGGGACAAAAUGCACCAAGGACUUGGCUGGCCUGGGGACCGGACGUGUGGGUAGAACGGCACCUGAGGUACUAGAAGGGUUCUUGGAGGAGGAAAAAGAAGAAAAUAGGGGAAGCAUAGCUCUUUAUUAAGCUUUAUAUGCAGAGCACUGUUGUAUUUGCUCGUCCUCUGGGCUGGUGUCUUAUCAGACAUGCUGCACAUCUGUGAGGUCAAGGAGAAAGUCAUUUUUAUCUGAAGUAGAGAAAAAGUCUUGCUGGUUACAGGGUGAUGCAAGUCCUCGAGCAUC
ensembl:lncRNA